rnacentral:rRNA from 1 species
AACGAACGCUGGCGGCAGGCCUAACACAUGCAAGUCGAGCGAGGACUUCGGUUCUAGCGGCGGACGGGUGAGUAACGCGUGGGAAUGUGCCCUUCUCUACGGAAUAGCCCUGGGAAACUGGGAGUAAUACCGUAUACGCCCUAUUGGGGAAAGAUUUAUCGGAGAAGGAUCAGCCCGCGUUGGAUUAGGUAGUUGGUGGGGUAAUGGCCUACCAAGCCGACGAUCCAUAGCUGGUUUGAGAGGAUGAUCAGCCACACUGGGACUGAGACACGGCCCAGACUCCUACGGGAGGCAGCAGUGGGGAAUCUUAGACAAUGGGGACAACCCUGAUCUAGCCAUGCCGCGUGAGUGAUGAAGGCCUUAGGGUUGUAAAGCUCUUUCAGCUGGGAAGAUAAUGACGGUACCAGCAGAAGAAGCCCCGGCUAACUCCGUG